AUGAGGGUGACCGAGUGUGGGGAGGAAUCUUGGAUCGAAGCUGCGAUCCGAUGAACAAGAACCGUAUAGAAGGCGCUGCCAAGCAGGGCGAGCGGGCAAAGAACCGCGAAGCUCUUGUGAUCAAGGCGAAGUGGAGUAGAUGCGGCGGUUGUGCAGCGAAGGAGUGCGUU
rnacentral:ncRNA from 1 species